GCCGCGGUAAUACGUAGGGUACGAGCGUUGUCCGGAAUUAUUGGGCGUAAAGAGCUCGUAGGUGGUUGGUCACGUCUGCUGUGGAAACGCAACGCUUAACGUUGCGCGUGCAGUGGGUACGGGCUGACUAGAGUGCAGUAGGGGAGUCUGGAAUUCCUGGUGUAGCGGUGAAAUGCGCAGAUAUCAGGAGGAACACCGGUGGCGAAGGCGGGACUCUGGGCUGUAACUGACACUGAGGAGCGAAAGCAUGGGGAGCGAACAGGAUUAGAUACCCUGGUAGUCCAUGCCGUAAACGUUGGGCACUAGGUGUGGGGGGCAUUCCACGUUCUCCGCGCCGUAGCUAACGCAUUAAGUGCCCCGCCUGGGGAGUACGGUCG
rnacentral:rRNA from 1 species